rnacentral:rRNA from 1 species
GACGACGCUGGCGGCGUGCCUAACACAUGCAAGUCGAACGAAGCAUAGCAAUAUGCUUAGUGGCGGACGGGUGAGUAACGCGUGAACAAUCUGCCCUGUACAAAGGAAUAGCCUCGGGAAACCGGGAUUAAAACCGUAUGACACUUUAGUAUCGCAUGAUAAGAAAGUCAAAUCGAUUAGAGGUAUGGGAUGAGUUCGCGUCUGAUUAGCUGGUUGGCGGGGUAACGGCCCACCAAGGCGACGAUCAGUAGCCGGCCUGAGAGGGUGAACGGCCACACUGGAACUGAGACACGGUCCAGACUCCUACGGGAGGCAGCAGUGGGGAAUAUUGCACAAUGGAGGGAACUCUGAUGCAGCGACGCCGCGUGAGUGAAGAAGGUCUUCGGAUCGUAAAACUCUGUCAGAUGGGAAGAAAUGGAUGGGGGCUAAUAUCGCCCAUCCUUGACGGUACCAUCAGAGGAAGCACCGGCUAACUCCGUG